rnacentral:tRNA from 1 species
UGAGGAUGUUGCUUAGUGGAAAAGUGCUUACCUAGUGUGCACAAAGUCCUGGGUUUAAUUCCCAGCACCACAA